CUGGCUCAGGAUGAACGCUAGCUACAGGCUUAACACAUGCAAGUCGAGGGGCAUCAUGGAGUUGCUUGCAAACUCUGAUGGCGACCGGCGCACGGGUGAGUAACGCGUAUCCAACCUUCCCUAUAGUAGAGGAUAGCCCGGCGAAAGUCGGAUUAAUACUCUAUGUUUUCCGUUGCAGACAUCUAAGAUGGAACAAAGGCUUGCCGCUAUAGGAUGGGGAUGCGUCUGAUUAGGUAGUCGGCGGGGUAACGGCCCACCGAGCCAUCGAUCAGUAGGGGUUCUGAGAGGAAGGUCCCCCCACAUUGGAACUGAGACACGGUCCAAACUCCUACGGGAGGCAGCAGUGAGGAAUAUUGGUCAAUGGGCGAGAGCCUGAACCAGCCAAGUAGCGUGCAGGACGACGGCCCUAUGGGUUGUAAACUGCUUUUAUGCGGGGAUAAAGUUCACUACGUGUAGUGUUUUGUAGGUACCGCAUGAAUAAGGGCCGGCUAAUUCCGUGCCAGCAGCCGC
rnacentral:rRNA from 1 species